rnacentral:rRNA from 1 species
UAGCCGUAAACGAUACUCGCUAGGUGUCGGCCACGGUGCGACCGUUGUCGGUGCCGUAGGGAAGCCGUGAAGCGAGCCACCUGGGAAGUACGGCCGCAAGGCUGAAACUUAAAGGAAUUGGCGGGGGGAGCACCACAACGGGUGGAGCUUGCGGUUUAAUUGGAUUCAACGCCGGAAAUCUUACCGGGACCGACAGCAACAUGAAGGCCAAGCUGAAGACUUUGCAUGACUAGCUGAGAGGAGGUGCAUGGCGUCAGUGACU